rnacentral:tRNA from 1 species
GGGAAGGUGGCUCAGUGGUAGAGUUCUUGCCUUGCAUGCAUGAGGCCCUGGGUUCGAUUCCUCAGCACCCCA